UUUUUUUUCUCUUUUAUACUUGAUUCACUCAUUUAGAUGUGCAAUAACUAUAGCUCAUCUAGAUGUGCCCUAGACACACCCUUCGUAGAGUCACCAUUCCAAAUAAAAAUCAGGUGAGUGUGUGAUUGGAUAAUUAGAAGAUUUAGCGCAGCUAACCCGAUUGGGCUAACGUCGCUCUCAAGAGGCAUGAGGGGCCACUUGCAAAAUACUUAUAUAGGAGUAGUAUAUUCUGAGAAGCCACUCUUGACCGUAGGUCAAUCCUUUCGCAGCCAUACUUCCUUUAUGAAAAGGAUGCGGCUAAGCAAAGAUAAAUAAGCAGAGAUCCAUCCAUGCGUUCAAAUCCAGAUGAUUGGUCCAGCAGGCAAAGUGAGCAGUGAAGGUGAAGCAUUGCCUCGGUCGUAGGUAAGCUCCACUGACACUGACGCAUUUUGAAACGGUAAAAAGGUACUCCCUCCGUUUCGAAUUACUUGUCUUAGAUUUGUCUAGAUGCGGAGGUAUCUAGCACUAAAUAGAUCGUCAUGGUUCACAGCCUCAGCAAUGGAGUGCUGGAGUAGGCACAAAAAAGCUCACCAAGAUUUUCAGCAGGUCGUUGGUGCGUGCAUGUCCACCAGCGGCGAGCGGCCGUGACUUUCCACAGCAAAUUCCAAAAGGGGGUGACACACCGCACCACAUAUCCCCAAAUAUCCUUUUCCGUCCGUCCCUCCGGCCGUCGGUGUCGCUGAACGCAGAAAACCGUGUCGAAUUGUUCCAAAGCCUUGAACUUCUUUCCUCCUCUUUUUCCCCUGUGUUGACGAGCAGGAAAUUCAAGGUGGAAAAUCAUUACACAAAGACUAAUACUAAAACAAAAUAAAAUAACAUAAAUUAUACCGUAAUAAUAAUGGUUUUGAUGAAAGUGGUUCCACCUUUUUAGGUGCAUCGCAUUUGCAUUUGGCUUUGGGCAACUAUCCCUGGCCAAAUGUAGUGCUCCAUGUUGGUUGACACCAUAUAGAGGAAAAAAGGGUAAAGGAAGUUGCCUUCGACUUCAACGUCGUCUUGUGCCUCUUCGCAGGAAGCAACCUUGGAACCCUCCCAGAAAACGGCUCGAAAAGAAAUUCUCUCCUACAAAAAGUGAAGCGAUUAGGCUGCUGAAAUGCACAUUAUAUUUUGUGCUGCAGAAUAAAACAUGUAGGGACUAGUGUGUGUGUUUCACUGUCACAACCCACAGCCAUAGACUGGAGACUGGACUGCCUGCUGCUGAAAAUCAAGAAAGGGACGCCAUGCAGCAGCAUGCACACCAGCAAGCACCCAUCCGUCCAUCCAAUCCACG
rnacentral:lncRNA from 1 species